rnacentral:pre_miRNA from 1 species
GCCUCGUCGGGAGUUCCCUUCAAGCACUUCAGGAAACAUCUUUUGUAAGGCAUUUCUGAAGUGUUUGGGGAACUCUUGAUGUCAC